UACGUAGGGUGCAAGCGUUAAUCGGAAUUACUGGGCGUAAAGCGUGCGCAGGCGGUCCGCUAAGACAGAUGUGAAAUCCCCGGGCUUAACCUGGGAACUGCAUUUGUGACUGGCGGGCUAGAGUAUGGCAGAGGGGGGUAGAAUUCCACGUGUAGCAGUGAAAUGCGUAGAGAUGUGGAGGAAUACCGAUGGCGAAGGCAGCCCCCUGGGCCAAUACUGACGCUCAUGCACGAAAGCGUGGGGAGCAAACAGG
rnacentral:rRNA from 2 species